rnacentral:tRNA from 1 species
AUCUGCUUUUGGUUGGUGCUAUAGUAAGAGCAUUAGCUCUUCUCUUAUCCCCGCUGUUGAAGGAAGACGCGGUC